GAUGUCUUCGGACAUUAGUGGCGGACGGGUGAGUAACGCGUGAGGAUCUGCCCUCAGGAUGGGGACAACAGUUGGAAACGACUGCUAAUACCCGAUGUGCCGGAAGGUGAAACUAUUUGGCCUGAGGAUGAGCUCGCGUCUGAUUAGCUAGUUGGAGUGGUAACGGCACACCAAGGCGACGAUCAGUAGCUGGUCUGAGAGGAUGAUCAGCCACACUGGGACUGAGACACGGCCCAGACUCCUACGGGAGGCAGCAGUGGGGAAUUUUCCGCAAUGGGCGAAAGCCUGACGGAGCAAGACCGCGUGGGGGACGAAGGUUUGUGGAUUGUAAACCCCUUUUGAUUGGGAAGAAGUUCUGACGGUACCAAUCGAAUCAGCAUCGGCUAACUCCGUGCCAGCAGCCGCGGUAAUACGGAGGAUGCAAGCGUUAUCCGGAAUUAUUGGGCGUAAAGCGUCCGUAGGUGGUUGGUCAAGUCAGUUGUUAAAGCGUGGGGCUUAACCCCAUAAAGGCAAAUGAAACUGACUAGCUAGAGUGCGAUAGGGGCAAGGGGAAUUUCCAGUGUAGCGGUGAAAUGCGUAGAUAUUGGAAAGAACACCGGUGGCGAAAGCGCCUUGCUGGGUCUGCACUGACACUGAGGGACGAAAGCUAGGGGAGCGAAAGGGAUUAGAUACCCCUGUAGUCCUAGCCGUAAACGAUGGAUACUAGGCGUUGUCCGUAUCGACCCGAGCCGUGCCGAA
rnacentral:rRNA from 1 species